GGCACCGAGGCAUAAUAAUAUUAUAUUUAUUGUUGUAUUUUAGUUUAUCGGUUGAUAUUUGACUGCAGUAUACUAGCCUGCACUGCACUCGAAAAGUUAUUGCAAACAACGAAUAAAUUUACACCUCAGCCGCGAGCUAAUAAUAAAUAAACCUGCGGGAAAUGAUAUUUAAACGCCUAUAUUAUUAUUUGAAUUUUAUAAGGCCGUUAUAAUAUUAUUGUUAUGAGGCGUGUGUGUUAUAAAAUAUAAAAUAAUUAUAAUAAGUUUACCCGAACGCCGGUGUAGUAGUAGUGCAAUUAAACCCAUAAAGUACA